GACAGAGGGGGCAAGCGUUGCUCGGAAUCACUGGGCGUAAAGGGCGCGUAGGCGGGAUGGCAAGUCGGUCGUGAAAUCCUUCGGCUCAACCGAAGAACGUCGGCCGAUACUGCCGUUCUUGAGGGAUGCAGAGGAGAUUGGAAUUCCCGGUGUAGCGGUGAAAUGCGCAGAUAUCAGGAGGAACACCGGUGGCGAAGGCGGGUCUCUGGGCCGUAACUGACGCUGAGGAGCGAAAGCGUGGGGAGCGAACAGG
rnacentral:rRNA from 1 species